rnacentral:rRNA from 1 species
CAGUAGCCACGGGAAUACGGAGGGUGCAAGCGUUAAUCGGAAUUACUGGGCGUAAAGCGUGCGUAGGCGGUUCGUUAAGUCUGUUGUGAAAGCCCCGGGCUCAACCUGGGAAUGGCAAUGGAUACUGGCGAGCUAGAGAGUGUCAGAGGAUGGUGGAAUUCCCGGUGUAGCGGUGAAAUGCGUAGAGAUCGGGAGGAACAUCAGUGGCGAAGGCGGCCAUCUGGGACAACACUGACGCUGAGGCACGAAAGCGUGGGGAGCAAACAGGAUUAGAUACCCCCGUAGUCCCUGUCUCUUAUAC